rnacentral:rRNA from 1 species
UACGAAGGGGGCUAGCGUUGCUCGGAAUCACUGGGCGUAAAGGGUGCGUAGGCGGGUCUUUAAGUCAGGGGUGAAAUCCUGGAGCUCAACUCCAGAACUGCCUUUGAUACUGAAGAUCUUGAGUUCGGGGAGAGGUGAGUGGAACUGCGAGUGUAGAGGUGAAAUUCGUAGAUAUUCGCAAGAACACCAGUGGCGAAGGCGGCUCACUGGCCCGACUACUGACGCUGAGGCACGAAAGCGUGGGGAGCA